rnacentral:rRNA from 1 species
UACGUAGGUGGCAAGCGUUGUCCGGAUUUACUGGGCGUAAAGAGCGCGCAGGCGGUUAUUCAAGUCGAAUGUGAAAGCCCCCGGCUUAACUGGGGGAGGGUCAUUCGAUACUGUUUAACUUGAAGGCAGGAGAGGGUAGUGGAAUUCCCGGUGUAGUGGUGAAAUGCGUAGAUAUCAGGAGGAACACCGUAGGCGAAGGCAGGUGACCUGG